GACGAACGCUGGCGGCGUGCUUAACACAUGCAAGUCGAGCGGUAAGGCCCUUUCGGGGGUACACGAGCGGCGAACGGGUGAGUAACACGUGGGUGACCUGCCCUCAGCUCUGGGAUAAGCCUGGGAAACCGGGUCUAAUACCGGAUAUGACUCCAUGACGCAUGUUGUGGGGUGGAAAGCCUUGUGCGGCUGAGGAUGGGCCCGCGGCCUAUCAGCUUGUUGGUGGGGUGAUGGCCUACCAAGGCGACGACGGGUAGCCGGCCUGAGAGGGCGACCGGCCACACUGGGACUGAGACACGGCCCAGACUCCUACGGGAGGGCAGCAGUGGGGAAUCUUGCGCAAUGGGCGAAAGCCUGACGCAGCGACGCCGCGUGAGGGAUGACGGCCUGG
rnacentral:rRNA from 1 species